GUGGCCAGGGAGGGGGGUUAAACACCCCUUCCCUGGCUCAAACUUACUACUGGCUGCGACUGUGGACUGCAAAUCCCAGAGGCACCUGGAAGCAGGAAGAGGAAGUGAUGAGGAACCCUGCAAAGUCCUGCUGCUGUAAUUCUGGACUACAAAUCCCAGUGAUGUCAGGGGCAGCAGAAAGAGGAAGUGAACACACAGCCAGAGAGCCAUGCUGUAGUGCCCCCCAGCUUCUGGCCUGAACCACUGCAGGCAUGUGGCUGCAUUUCCUGAAUCAAAGCUCGCCCCCGGUUUUCUCCGACCCCGCAUGCCCGGGCUGCUGGCCACAGCCCACUUGCGCAAGACGGACCGCGGAUUGCUCCCAGCCCGCACAGAAUGAAGCAGCCAGUUCAUAAUGAUCAAGAUUAAGUCUUCCAAGAUAGAAAAACUGAGGCACCAAAACCAAAGGAUUCAAAUGACUUGCUUAAUAUUAUACAGGAAGACAAGGGCAGGUGCGGAAACCCCAUGGUCCCAGGUUGGAGAAAACUAAUAAUGGGAAACCACAAAAAGAUGCACUUGAUGGUCUUGUCCUCCCUCCAAUGUAACCGAAACCAGUGGAACAUGAAACUAAAUAAAGAUGUUUACUGACAGACUAAUAAACAAAUGGGCCCAUUUUGCUGUAACCUUGAUGAAUGGAGCAUCCAGGUGUUUUCAAUAAUGGCAAUAAGCACUACAACUCGAAGUAUUUCUGAUUCAAGUAUAAUGCAUUAUUAGGCCAUUAGAGGCUGAGUAUAGAGGGCCAUUUGUGCUCAGCCCUAUCAAUAAUGCUCCUUCCCAGCCUACAUUUAGGCCAGGGGAAUUAGUCAUACGGAUAUUCUAUUUAAUAAAAACCUAAAGAAGACGCAUCAAGAAUCGCAUUACAUUUUAACAGGGUUACAGUAGCCCAGGAGGACCACAAGUUUAAUUUUCAUAAGAGCAUUCAUUCCUCAAUUAUGUCAAACAUGAAAAUGUAAAUGGCAAAUUUAAUGCUAACAAUAUCCCUCAAAGCACAUUGGCAGGUAGCAACCAUUAUGUUGAGUGAAUGCUGGCUGCAUAACAACCAGCCUCCAACUAGACAGCAAAGGAUUAAAAUUUCCAAGCUGAGCUCUGUUGAUUAUAGCUGCACACUGCUGAAAAUAUCCCUUGCAAUAUGCAUGUGUUCUGAAAGGGCGGAUUCUUUCUUUCUAAAGAAUGUGCUGACCAUGCAAGCAUCGUGAUUAACUGCAGUUGAAGGUGAUAGCCAAGAAAUGUGGAAAGGAAUAAAUAUUUUUGGUCCCUUACAAUAAAUACAAAGAGCCAAAUUCAUUCCUCAGUAUAAAUUCCUUGGAAGACAAAGGUACAUGCAUACCUAAACUGUGUUUAUCCUGAAAAGAGUGAACACAAGUGUCUGGAGGAAAGAGAAGUCUAGAUGAAAAGGCUUUGUGGAUUUUGAGAUGGAGAAAAUCUAAAAAAAGGUGCAAAAAAGUGUUCAAUAUAAACUCCAAGCUAAGAUACUAGAAGGGUUUGUUUAUUUUCUAGCGGAUCAAGUGACAUAACACAAAAUAGCUGUGCGGGGAAAGAGUCUACAAAUUUAAUUCUCCAAAACUCAAAAACUUUGACCCAGAUCCUCAGCUCAUGCAACCUGGUAUAAGGAUCUGGCGCUAUCGUCUUGCCAACUAACAACCUGAUGGCCCAAUCCCACUGAAACUUUUGCCACUAAACUGAAUGCAACAUCAGGACCAGACCUUCAUUUUAUAAACUGCUGAUUCUCUCAGGACCAUAAAAGGAAUACUUCAUUUCUACCCUGGGGUCAGACCUCUGAACAAAUGGACUCAACAUAUUUCUAUGACAUUCUUGAUUCUGAUGCAUGAUCUGUACGUAGUGCUAAGAUGAAUAUUGAUGUGGACUGGGCAAAAUCUCUCUGAGGAUGGUGGCAUAAUUGCUGCCCUUCACUUAGAGAGCUGUAAGACAGGGAAGUGCCUUUAUAAAACAAUGCCAGCCUUCACUUCAAACACAACCACAUUUACCAUCCAAAAUGAAGGACCAUGUUUGGCUAUCUGGAAAUUUGAACCAUAUGGGGAAGAAGGGCUUGGUUAUCUCUCGUUUAAACAGAAGGUUUGAGCUCAACUACAAGCAGGAAAAGCACUAUGGAAAUGGUGACAGGGAAGGAGCAUAAGACUAGACACAGGCUGAAAAAGAACUGAGAGUUUGGCCUUGAGACAGAGACUUUUGGGCUGAGUACUGACCAAAGGAGGCAAGAAACUGUAAAUUAUUGUUUGUCUGAUUCUUCCUGUAUUCAAGGAAGUAAAACUUUGUAUAUCCUUUGAGAAUAAACAGGACUGCAUUAAAGAUAUCAGAU